GAUCUGUUGAAUGGUUGAAGGGCUGGCGAGGCAAACUAGGCUUGACCUGGGCUGAGAGACUUGCAGUAAUCAGCUCCCCGAAGGGCCGUCAUUCCAGGCUUGGGAAUGGCCUGAGCGCAUGGCUGAAGGCAUGCAACUGGUCUCCCAAGCUUAUACUUCGGCUCCACUGAAACCCUUCACUGGAAGAGCCCAGACCUUGUCACUCCUUAGCUCAAAAUCUUUCAGUAGAUUCCUCUUGCCCUUAAAAUCGUAUCCAAACUCAGUGGCCCACAGGGCCCCUGUGAUCUGGCCUCACCUCAUUGCCCCCACCCAAGUAUAUAACAAGGUGCAGCCUCACUGCUUAGUUUUGGAACCUUGAAAAUGCCAAGCAGCCAAGCUAGUUCUUGCCUCAAGGCCUUUCUCACAUGCUGAUCAGUCGGUCCCAAAAUACUCUAUAGCAGGUCUUUGCUUGUCCGGCUCCUUGUCAUCAAGUUCAACUAAGUAUUACCUUCCCAGGCCCUUCCAGAGCACUAUCUAAAAUUAGCUGACCCACCCCCCUAACAUCCCAUUUCAUGGUUUUCAUAGCACCAUUAUAACUAUCUGAAAUUAUCUUGUUUAUUCACUGGCUCUUCCUACUAAAAUGUGAAUCGCAUGAGAGCAGGGACCUAUUUUUCAUGUUCACUGUAUUACGAAGUUUAGAUUAGCGCCUGGCUCAUAGUUGGCACUCAGUACUUCACAAAGUGUGUUUGAAAAAUUACAAAGAUGCCCGGAUGAGGGAAGGAGUCACCAGAGAUGAAAAUGGAAGAUAGGUCAAGAUCAAGAGGGUGAAAGGUGAUGCUGCUGUCAACUAGAAUAGGAGUACAAGCAGAGGGAUGACAUCAGUUAUAGAGCCGCUGUGUUUGGGAUGCCUGCAGGAAGUUUAAGAGGAGGCUGAUGGAUCCUGCAAGGUAGCCCCUCUCACCUCUCUCCUAGCAAUUUCCCAGUCUAUUCUAGAUUGUCUACGCUUCCAGAGGGUUGGAAUUGGGAACCAGCUGCAAGCUGGAUCUCAAAUGAGUAAAGACUCGAUCUCCUCUCACCCUCCAAACUCAAAAUCAAACUGAAACACCCAUGUGGCACUUCCAACUCUUCUUCCUUCUAGAAGCUACUACUGCAGCUGACUUUAGGACCGUCUCAUUAUUGUCUAGAAAUGUUGGCACAUAGUGUCUGCACAGAGACUUUCCUCCCAAUAGUUUUUAUUUACUUAGAGGAUGGGUAUGGAUAAUUGAGGGGAGGUCUAUAUUCAGUUCCAAGAGAUCUAUAUCAAGAUUUAACAUCCUUCUAACUUUUGUCCUCUUACCAAAGGUCAGGAUUAGUGGAGGUAAACCAUGGGUGAAGUCCCUCUUGUAGUGGCUCAUUUGUUUUCUAAUUAACCUGAGCUUAUUUGAGAGAGAGCUUCAGGAGUAGGGACAGUCUGGACAUCAGGAUUUGGGAAUAUUCAGGCAAUACCUGAGGCUAAGGGUAAGGAGUGUGUUAGCAUAAGAAGAGACUCAAGGAUAGAACCUUUAGGAACACCUACAUUUCAGAGAUGGGCACAAUUUGAGGAAUGAAUGAAUCUGUCCACACAGGUAUAAAAAUAGAGGAGUAGUAUCUCGAAGGCUAGGAAAGAAGUACUCCAUAGAGCCCAACAUUGCAGAGAAUCCAAAUAGAGUUCAAAGAAAGACCUUGUAAAUUAUCGUUCAUAUGUUUUUAAUGACAUUUGCCAGAGCAGUUUUCUUUAGCAUGGUGGGAAUGAGAGCCAGAUUACUGUAGCUGAGGGGCUAAUGGGAGGGAGUAAAGUCAGAAAGUUGGAAGUAGGAAGUUAAAGCUUCUAAGAAGUUUGGUGGUGGAGAGGCAGAAGGAAGGGAAUUGUCUAGCAUAGAAGAAAACGUAUGUGAAUAAUUAGGGCCAGGAGCAGACAGAGAGAGACUAAAGAUAAAGAGAUCACUGAUUUACCUAGGCCCUGGAAAAGGUGGCUAAGCUAGGAAUCCAGAGUCUGGCCUUCCUCUUGGUAGCUCCUGUCUGGAAUAUCACCUUACAUCUAGAUUAAACAGAACUGCUAGGUACUCUGCUGAGUGCAAAAUAGAGCAACAUGUAGUAGGGGGUUGAGAGUGGUAAAGGUUUGGAACAACUGUUGAGAAAUACCACUUGGUCUGUCAAAUGCAAAUAUUAUGGUCAGAAUUUUUUGAGGAGAAAUGGAGUAAAACUAAGUUGGCCCCAUGGGAUCCUGGCUUUCAUAGCUGGUCCUGGACAAGAUCACAAGAGAUAAGAAUCCUCAAGUCUUCUGCCUUUGCCAUAACUAAUUGAUUUCUUUUUUUAUUCAGAUCUGAACUACAGAGAGGGUGAUUCUGACCUUGAAAAGAAACCAAGAUAAAAGGAAAGAGGUCUCAGGAAUUAUAAACCAACCCAAACCAGAGACUCAAUGCCCCAUUUUUCAUUUCUAUAGUAGUUUGGCUUUCAGUGAGUUGCAGUAUAUGGACUCAAGCCCAUUUCUUCUUUGCUACUAGAUUUGAUUCUCCUCUUUUCACACUUCAUGCAUACUAUGAAAAUUCUUCAUUUCUUCAUUCCACAAAUGUUUAAUGAAUGCUUGCUAUGUGCAAGAUACGGAUUCUUCCUUUGCUGUGAUUUUCAGAUCAUCUAGACUUGAACUAAUAAGGAGGAUGGCUGGCUUAAAAAUGAUCCAAGAACAAAAGAAGCCCCUCUCAAAUGCCAUCCAGCAAACAAAAACUGAGAAACAUUAUACAUUUUUCCUUCUCUUAAGGACUGGAUUCAGGCCCUAACUUUGGAUUUUCAGUUAGUCAUAUCUGGUCUGUGUAAGGCCUUCCACUCUCAUCUCCUUUUGAUUCACCUGAUCUGUAACCUUUUACAUCAAAUCAGUGACUUUUUUUUUCUUUUUUCUUUUGCCAUGUUGUAAUUCUCAGAUUCUCCUGAAUUGAAUUAUUAGGAAGUACAGGCCUUGGUAUUGAGGCCAAGAUAAAAGGAAAAUGCUCUUAUGUUCCCUUAUUUCCCUUAUGAAAUAAAGCAUUUUUUAAACAGUACUCCCCCCACCCUUUGGACUGUAACUAAACUAUGUCCUUGUUUUUCAAUAAAUACUGCCAUAGUCAUCAACCUCCCCUCUAAAAAACCAGCCAAUGCUUUCCUCUUAAUCAUUAACUCCUCAACUCCUUUAUCCCCUACACCUAGUCACUAAAUCUUGUGGAUUCCUCUCUCUACCAGGUUUCUAGUUAUCUCUCAACAUUUUAUGUUUUGUUUUCCAAACCAUCUUACAUUUAGUUACUAAUUUUUCUCAAGGAACAUAUACAUCAUGUCACUCUCUUAAAACUUUUCAGGGGUUCACAGUAUUACAAUUGAAUCAGAUUUAGGCAGUUCACCAUCAAAGACACAUCUGUCAAAUCCAGCCUCACCUGCAUGCUUUAUCUUUGUCUUUCAUUGGUAUGCUUUCCCUACUUUUCAUCAGGGUUCAUGCUGUUUUUUUUUUUUCCUACUAUCUAGCAAUAUGCUCAUUUAAUACUAAACUGAAUUCUUUUUUUUUUUUUUUUUCUAAACUGAAUUCUGAGUACAAAAUGAACUAUGGGUAGUGAAGCAUUUACUCUGCCUUUCAUUUCUGAUCCAGCUACAUCAUGAAGGUUGUUUCUAUUUUGAUUCCAUUGUGUAAUAGGCCCUAUGAUUAGCCUCCCUAUUGUGGUUUAAUAUUUCAGAGUUCCCCAGAGCAUAAGUUCAGAGCCUGAUUAGGGUCUUUAGAGGCUCCAGGCUCCAAAACUAAAAUGAUUAUAGUACAUACCCUCCCAAAUGUAAUUGAAAAUAUAAGCAAUUCUAAAACACAGAUUACAUGUAAGAAAGUGAAACAAAGUUCUGAUUGUUUUUCCUAGCUAUUUCAUUUUGAAAUUAUUUCAAAAAAAUUUUUUUUAUCCCUCAGCUUUACUAUACCUAAGCAGGUACUUGGCAUGCACAUGUUCCUAUAAUGAAAGACUAACUACUCACCUAACCUUCUGUCAAAAAAAACAGUUGAUAGUGGUGGGGGAGGGGCUAGACCUGACCUCACCAUUCUUACUGCUCUUGGUCCUCCAAGAAAAACUAAAGUGGUGAUCCUUGAACUCGGUGCCUACCAGGAAAAUAGUGCCAGUCCACCACAAGGACAAUUAAGUGAUUUUUGUUCCUCUUCCUUUAUACAUUGGGGAAAUCAGAAACUGAAGAGCCCAAUUUAACUUAAAAAUGUAAUUUUAAGGACUUUAUCAAAAUCUAUGCCUACUGCACUCAAUUUAGUCAAAGGAAGAUAUUUCAAGAACGCAUUUUUUAAGAUUUUAUUUAUUUAUUCAUGAGAAUACAGAGUCGAGAUAUAGACACAGGGAGAAGCAGGCUCCUCACAGGGAGCCUGAUGCGGGACUUAAUCCUUGUACCCAGGAUCACUCCCUGAGCCGAAGGCAGAUGCUCACCACUGAGCCACCCAGGCAUCCCAAGGAUAGCAUUUUUUUUAAGUUUUCCUUUAAGAGAUUGUACUGGCACAGACGUAAUUCUACCUAGGACCAAAAAUUAUGAUCAUUUUUGUUUCCUGAAUCCAUACAUACCUGGAUUAAUCCUGCUUCCCCUUAAAAAAACGAGAGCGGGAAACAAGCCCUAAGUGACUCUUAAUGUUAGAGAACAACCUGAGGGUUAAUGGAGGGAGAUAGGCAGGACAAGGGCUAGAUGGAUGAUGGGUAUUAAAGAGGACACUUGUUGUGAUGAGCACUGGGCGUUUCAUGUAAGUGAUGAAUCAUUAAAUUUUACUCCAGAGACCAAUAUUGCACUAUGUGUUAACUAUAUGAAACCAAUACUGCACUGUAUGUUAAAAAAAAAAAGAAGGAAAAAAUUAAAAUGGUCUACAAAUGA